rnacentral:lncRNA from 1 species
AGGAGGACCCUCUGGCUCCCUGAGGUCACGUCUGGUGCACAGCAGAACCAGAUUUUGACCCACGUCUGUCAGGCUUCAGAGCCCUUGGCCCUGCCCUGCAUUUGCCAGGGGUACAGGUAUCUUCGAGGUCAACAAAGAAGUCCCAGUUAUCCUCUUUCCACCCUUUCCGGAUCCUGACCUGGAUGGACAGCAGCCCUGAGAAGAGAGCGGGGUGUGAGCCUGGAACAGAAGGAACGUCUUACGAUGGGAAGAUGAUUCACUUGUGCUAUUUUUAUUCUGCCGACAGCGGCGUCACCACCUCUCUGGGCCUCAGUGUCCUGGCCUGUGAAAUGAGUGGGAAGAGACAACGCCUGCAAUCUCAGCUCGAGACACUCUCUGAGAGCCUUUCUAGUUGCAGGCCCCUGAGUCUCAUUAUGCCAAGAAACUGAUUUCGGAGAAGAAAUAGCCGCCUCAGCCCCCUGCCGGGAACCCACAAAUUCAGCGUCGCAGAGUAGGGCAGUGAAGUAACUCAAUAUUUGGAUCCAGCUCAGGAGUCUUCCCUGUCGUUGGAGUGGAACCUCCCUGAAGGGAGGUCCCCGCCCCUGGGCCCGGAGGGAUGGGCCCCCCGCCCCAGUCCUGGGCAGCAGGUUCUGACCUGAUCGUUCCUGAGCGGGACAGUGAGAGCAACAGGACCUGCUCACGAUCCCUCUCAGCUGUCUGGUGGGGAAGAGUGGAGUCAAGAGGAGAGGAGAGGAAAGGGGGCUGCCAGCCAUGAGGCCCACAUGUUUCAGCCGAAGCCACUUGAAGCCACGUGGACAGAGGGACCCACAGCAUCCUCUCUAGCAGCCCCCGGGUACAUAGUUGUAUAUUCUUCGUUGUGGGUCCUCCUAGAUGUGGAAUGUGGGAUGCCGCCUCAGCGUGGUUUGAUGAGCGGUGCCAUGUCCGUGCCCUGGAUGCGAACCAACGAAACACUGGGCCGCCUGCAGCGGAGCGUGCGAACUUAACCACUCGGCCACAGGGCCAGCCCACCGUUAUCUUCUUUUGAGGACAGCUGUUGUGGCGCCCUGGCCAUCCCAAAAGCUCCAGCAUUCCAUUUCAAGGAUCUCUUGCUGGCUUCCCUCCUACCAUCAUUCCUCUGAGAGAACGUGGCCUUGAGAACAAGGAGUGGAGAGCUGCCAGCUACUGCCACCUGACACAGAGCCUCAUUGCCCUUGCCUGUCUCCUUCCCCUGUCCAUCUUCAGUGUAGGGUCAAGAAGUGGGCCACUCCUUCCUUUUAUCCGAGGUGGACUUCUUGUUUUCUCCCCCCAGAGGUUGCCACGUGUCUAAUUGCCCAUCAAGCUAGAGUGGUGGAGGGAAAUUGGUAUCAAAGAGUUUUUGCUGAAUGCUUGAAUGGACGACGGCUUAGAGAACUGACUGAAGUUUGAGCGGGAAACAGGAAGACAAGGCCAACGUCAUUUAGCCCACCAAAUACCCUCAUGCCCUUUGGGAAGAAGAAAGAUGAAUAUGGAAGAAGCAGAAAAGGAUGAGUUUAAAUUGAGGCAUAAAGAACAUAGAACUAAAUAAGUAAGACCUCAAAAGUCCCUUAGUCAUCAUCUAAUCCAGACCUUUAUUUUUUUAGCAGAGGGCAUCAAACCCCCAAGGGGAUCGUGACCUUAGUGACCUCCUUAAGAUCACAGGGCCAGAGUGAGGCCUUGGGUCUCUUGACUAUUUUGAUCUCAACGAGAUGUUGGUCUCCUCUUCUCCACAUUCACCUCAAACUCAUUUAUUCCAGAAAACUACCUUACCUAACCCAGGGGUCCAGUUAGCACCAAAGUGAUCUAAACUAACCUUGAGUUUACUGUCCUUGGGUCCAUUUUGGCAAUUGCCUCGUGGCCUCAAGACUACCCCCACUUAGAAAGAAUGGGUGAGGGUAGCCAAAGCCAAAUGUACAGGGCCAGUUUUACCCCAGGCUGGCCCAGGAGAGGUUUGGCUUGGGUUAUUACCAAGGUGCGAGGUCUCACCUCCUAGGAGUUUGUUCCAGGGGUCUGCAGUCAUCGGAAUACGCAGUCUUGAGCAGAGGUGUCUAGACCUUGUCGAAUGAUCAGAGACCGGGACGUGAACACACAUUUUACCCCUUUAUAAUGACUUGGGUGUGCCAAACAGGACCCAUCACCCCCAAGUCCUAGCCUAGGAUUUUCUAACCAAGUAUAUAGUUAGAGGAAAAUGUAAUCCACGUGUAUCUGACUCACUCAUCCCUAAAUUAUCCUAAAGUUCCAUUCUGGGAAUGGUUUGAUAUGUACUCUGCUUUUUUUCAUCUUUUGGAAUCUUGAAUUGGCCAAGACAAAAUAAAAAGCCAUCCUGAGAGAUGGAAGGACUCUUCAAGUAGAGGCAUGACCUGUAGGCUCCUCCCCAAGGCCUCCUGGGACAGGAAGCCCAGCAGGGCAGGGAGCAUGCCAGAACCCAGAAACAUACCUUUAUUAGUCAUCUCCCAGCUCCCCUUCUGCUUGUACUUCUGCGAUGCUGUGCCCUACUGAGGAAAAUCACCCAGUGCGGAAGAUGGUGUCACUACAGAUUUAUGGCAUCUGGACUCUGUUGCACCCCCAAGAGUACGGAGAGAUCCCAUCAGAGAAAAGUGAGUCCAUCAAGAAAGAAUUUUCUCCCCUUCCUGUCACGCUCUACAAACCUAUCUGCCUCAGCACCCUCCUGCUCAAUUAGGGCCAUUUCUGAAGGGCCAGCCCAGCUUCAGAGCUCCCUGUGGUCCCAGUUGCAUCAUUCUUCAACUCCCCUCUCCGCCGUUUCCGCUUCCUUUGCCCCCUCACUCAGUAGGUGUUCUUCCCAAGACCACCCCCCAGUAAUUCUCCUACGUGAAAAUCACACGGUCUGUUUCUUGGCGAACCCAACUAAGAUGAGAAAGAGUGUUUCAGGCAGUGGGAACAUGCAAUGGCGUCCAAUUUCUUCCUGUGUCCUCUGGGACCUUGUUCCAUGAUCCCCUCUUUUUUGCUGAAUCUUCAAACUCCACCUCUCCUUAGCGUAUAUACUUAUUCAAGUCUUUCCCACAUUAAAACACAAAAAUUAAACCUUCCUUUCACCCGAAGCCCCUCUCCAGCUGUUACCCCAUACAUAUUCCCUUUUGGUCAAGCUUCUCAAGAAAGUAGAUGGUCAUUACUCCCUUCAUCUCACAUUUACUCCUCAACUCAUUGUGGUCGGCAUCCACUGUCAACAAUGAAAGACUCUUUGAAGUCACCAGCAGUAGGUGCUUUUCAGUCUUCGUUGCUUGACUUGUCAGCCAUAUUUGAUGCCAUUGACCUUCCUCUCAAUCUCCACUUCCUUUGCUCCUUUGGUUUGUGUUCUUUUCUGAAUCUCUUUCUACUACUUAGGAGAUCUGUUUAGUCUCUGUUGUGUCCCCCUCACCCCCUGUCCCACUACAUCCAUAAAUGUUGGUUGGGAUUUCCCGUAUCUCUCCAUGGCUGUCUGUGCCUUCUUCUCUUCUCACUCUACACACUCCCCACUCCCGAUAAGCUACUCCCUCAAGCUCCUGACCUGAAUCUGCACUUCUAGCCAAGGUCUCUCUUCUGAACUCCAUCUUAAGUUCUAUGAGAUAAAACAGGACUCAUUAGCAGGACUCUGUCUACCCUUGAAUCUGCUCACCUUUCUGAACACCCCCAUCUUGGGGAAGGAUGUCAACGUUUCCCUAGGGCCUCUGCCUUAUCCCUGGCAUUCAAUCAGUCACCAAGUCCUGCCAACUUGACCGCUUAAGCAUCCAUCCUCUCUGCUCUGGCUCCAUUCCUACUGCCUUGGUCCAGGCUCUCACUUCUUGAUGGCUAUUGCUAUGGUCUCCUAAUGGUUUCCUUUCAGCCACUCUUGACCAUGCCCAAUCCAUACUAUACAUAGAAGCAAGAGUGAUAUUUCUAUAAAACAAAUCUUGUGCAUCAUUCCUUUACUUAAAAUUCUUCAGAAGCUUCUCAUCACUCUCAGGAUAAAAUCUAAAUUCUUCAGUAUAACAUAAAAAAUCCUGUAUGAUCUAGUUCCUGUCUGUCAGUGCAGCCUCAUUUCUCCUUCCCGUUCCCCCUCUCCAUGCUACGGCAACACUGAAAUUCAUUGUUCUAACUCCCACAACACAGUAGAUUUUCUCUUUAAGUCUAAACUUCUUGAGAGCAGUGUUCAUAUCUUUUCAUCUCUGGAUCUUCUAUACAAAGUACAGGGCCUGGCAUAGAGCAGGCACUCAAUACAUGUUUAAUUAGCACUAACGCCUAGCUUUUAUUGAACACUUUCGGUAAGGCCAGGCAACGUGCUAAGCACUUUAACAUACAUUGUGUCAGUUAGUUCACACAACUACAAUUACUGUUAGGUAGGUGUCAUUAUCCCUAUUUUAAAGAUGAGAAAACUGAGACAUAGAGAGGUUAGGUAGCUCUCCCAAGCUGGUAAGUGGCUCAGAAGAGACGUGAACCAUACUCUUAAUUAAGCACGAGUGUGAGCUGCUAUGCCAUUCAUGCUGAUGAAAGUUCAGUGUAGGGAUUCUGGGUGCAGCUCUUGGGAGCUGCCUUACGCACUGUCUGUCUGACACCAGUCCAUCCAGUGCUUGCACGGGCCUCUACCUAUUAACUUGGGCCUUGAGGCUUGCACUCGGUGAACAAGAUUUCAGCAUUCCCAGUUCAGCCAGUCUUUGCUCCCAUAUCAAAAUCCUUUGCCACUGCUACAGUUCUACCGUGCUGCCCAGACUCUUCCAGAUCUGGCACCUGGUCUCCUGGCUUCUGGCUGAGAGCUCUGCCUCCUGACCAUGCAGACCUACAGCCAGUAACACUCAACAAUGCUUGGUUUCUCAGGCUUGUCUGGCCAGUAGGUCUGUCUUGGUGUGCACCCCAGUCCACAUCCCCAGCUCUGAUCUGAUUGCUUCCCAUGUAGACCAGCACUCUUAGCAUGCUGGGCCCCAGCCAGCGCCGUCCUUGCCUUGCUGUCAGUCACUCUGCCUGAGCUGAGACCUUGCUCCCUGCUCCCACUGCCAGCAGCUCAGGGACCAGACAGCAGGAGAAGCGGAGAGGUGAGGGACCACUUAGAAAGGCCUGUGACUGCCAGUCAGGGGCGUGCUGAGACUGUGGGGACGGGUGGGGCUGCAUCUACAGGUCUUCAUCCCCACACCUGCAGUUGGAGAGCUCACAGCUGAACUCUGGAGCCACCGGCCCACUAGCUAUGCUUCCUUCUCAGUCACUGUUUGUUUCUCAGUAUGGCAAAGUUACAAUGCAAGUACAGUGACGUGUUCUUGACUAACAGGACUGAUACUUUGUGACCAGCUUUUAUUGUGAUGUUAAUGAUAAUUUGUACCUGGCUCUAAUUAUUAUAUUAACAAUAUGCAGUCCUUGAUGAGUAAGAGUUGCACUUCAGAAAUAAGGCCAGAUUGAUCUGAGC